rnacentral:sRNA from 1 species
CCAAUGUUUGUAUGCCGUUAGUUGUAUACAUGCUGUUCAGACCCUCUCCCUCCUGCCAAUUGUGUGGGAGGAGUGACCUCCCUCGUUCGCCCCUGGCGGCUGUCCAGCUUUUCAGAAGAACAACUACUAGGAGAAUCAGGUUAAUUAAUUGAUUAAUUAAUGUUGGUAAUCAACUUGACACUGUUAUUGUUAUUGUUGUUAUCUACCUACUUUGGGUGUUCUGUAAACAAAAAGGAGUGAAUGUGACCGUGGAGGUCAAGUGCUGAGCAGAACACUGGGGCCUUCUAAUAGAGGUGCCAAAGGAGGUGCCAACAAUCAAUCAAUUUUUUUUAAGAAAAAGAGACAGUGAUAAUAUUAUAAUAAAAGAAUGUUCAAAACAACGAAUCGAAAAAAAAAAUAAUAAUAAUAAAAAAUAAAAACUAAAAAUAAAUGAACCCCAUCAUAGUGUGCAGGAGUAGUACAGUACAAUACCGUAAAGCAUCCCCGGGUUUUCAAUGCAAAAUUAUAUAUAAGCAAAAUGAGGACCAUAAAAGUAAAA